rnacentral:ncRNA from 1 species
AUAGCUUUGGUCCUGACCUUACUAUUAAUUUUUAGUAGACUUACACAUGCAAGCAUCCACACCCCAGUGAGAAUGCCCUCUAGGUCUGCUAGACCAAAAGGAGCAGGCAUCAAGCCCACAAUCCCAAUGCAGCUCACAACGCCUUGCUCAACCACACCCCCACGGGAAACAGCAGUGACAAAAAUUAAGCAAUAAACGAAAGUUUGACUUAGCCAUACUAACCAAGGGUUGGUAAAUUUCGUGCCAGCCACCGCGGCCAUACGAUUAACCCAAAUUAAUACUCAUCGGCGUAAAGCGUGUUUAGGAUAACCCAACAAAUAAAGUUAAACCAAGACUAGGCCGUAAAAAGCUACAGUCAAAAUAAAAUACACGACUAAAGUGACUUUAACAACUCCGAACACACGAUAGCUAAGACCCAAACUGGGAUUAGAUACCCCACUAUGCCUAGCCCUAAACCCAAACAUUUAAUCAACUAAAAUGUUCGCCAGAGCACUACUAGCAACAGCCUAAAACUUAAAGGACUUGGCGGUGCUUCACACCCUCCUAGAGGAACCUGUCCUAUAAUCGACAAACCCCGAUAAACCUCACCACCCCUAGCCAACACAGCCUAUAUACCGCCAUCCCCAGCAAACCUUGGAAAGAACCACAGUAAGCGCAACUAUCAACCACAAGCACGUUAGGUCAAGGUGUAGCCCAUGAGGUGGAAAGAGAUGGGUUACAUUUUCUUACAAAAGAAAAAUCAACGAAAGUUUCUAUGAAACCCUAGAAACCAAAGGAGGAUUUAGAAGUAAAUUAAGAAUAGAGAGCUUAAUUGAACUAGGUCACGAAGCACGCACACACCGCCCGUCACCCUCCUCAACCCACCUAUAAUCACAAACAUACUACCCACUUCAUAGGCACCCCUCUUAGAGGAGACAAGUCGUAACAAGGUAAGCAUACUGGAAAGUGUGCUUGGAAAAAAUCAAAGUGU